rnacentral:rRNA from 1 species
AUUGAACGCUGGCGGCAGGCCUAACACAUGCAAGUCGAACGAGUGGCGGACGGGUGAGUAAUGACUGGGAAACUGCCUGAUGGAGGGGGAUAACUCCUGGAAACGGUAGCUAAUACGGCAUACCAUCAGAUGUGCCAAGAUGUGAUUAGCGAGUGGGUGGGGAAACGGCUCACAAAGGCGACGAUCCCUAGCUAGUCGGGUAGGAUGACCAGCCACAGUGGAACUGAGACACGGUCCAGGCUCCGACGGUGGGCAGCAGUGGGGAAUAUUGCACAAUGGGCGCAAGCCUGAUGCAGCCAUGCCGCGUGUAUGAAGAAGGCCUUCGGGUUGUAAAGUACUUUCAGCGGUGAGGCGUUACCCGCAGAAGAAGCACCGGCUAACUCCGUGCCAGCCGCCGCGGUAAUAC